rnacentral:rRNA from 1 species
AUUGAGCGCUGGCGGCAUGCCUUACACAUGCAAGUCGAACGGCAGCACGGGUGCUUGCACCUGGUGGCGAGUGGCGAACGGGUGAGUAAUACAUCGGAACAUGUCCUGUAGUGGGGGAUAGCCCGGCGAAAGCCGGAUUAAUACCGCAUACGAUCCACGGAUGAAAGCGGGGGACCUUCGGGCCUCGCGCUAUAGGGUUGGCCGAUGGCUGAUUAGCUAGUUGGUGGGGUAAAGGCCUACCAAGGCGACGAUCAGUAGCUGGUCUGAGAGGACGACCAGCCACACUGGGACUGAGACACGGCCCAGACUCCUACGGGAGGCAGCAGUGGGGAAUUUUGGACAAUGGGCGAAAGCCUGAUCCAGCAAUGCCGCGUGUGUGAAGAAGGCCUUCGGGUUGUAAAGCACUUUUGUCCGGAAAGAAAUCCUUGGCUCUAAUACAGUCGGGGGAUGACGGUACCGGAAGAAUAAGCACCGGCUAACUACGUG